CACUCCCGUGCUUGUGGUGCUUGGUCUUUGCAUCGUGGAUUUCCUGACUAUAUAUCAGCGCACCUGUAUUAUAUUUCACUUUCUCGCUCUUCUUCACACACACGGGCAGACAGCACUUGGCUCAUCUUCCUCCUUUCAAGGGUUACGCCGCGCUUUUCUCUGUAAAUUCUCCUCCUCCGAUCUCGAAACAUUGGAAAAAUUCGAUCAAUCAUUUGAGCUCUCACAAGGUGUACAAUUCAUUUGAUUCGGGGAAUCCCAAAGAUCUCCGUGAAUUGAAGCGUUUUGGUAUCCCCUCAUGCUCUGCCCGGAAGUACGCAGUGCUGUUUGAAUUGAAGUCACUUUGAUGUGAGGAGAGGUGUUUCGGCUCCUUUUUAGGGUUUGCUAGAUGUUAGAGGGAGAGCUCGAAGAUCUAAGCAUUGGUUUGAGUUGAGAUUCUGAUUCGUAGAGAGGUCGUGAUGGAUUUGGAUUUUAAUGGUGACGUAGCCAGUCUUGACGCUGAGCUCCUGCAGCUCCCGGAGGUGUCUCCAUUGGCCAUCAAAGCCAAUUCGUAUGUUGCCGAGAAGCUCUUUGAUCAAUGGCUGUCGCUUCCUGAUACCGCAUCCUUGAUUAGAUUUUCACUCCGGGGUUUAGGAAGGUAUCUAGUUCUUAACUGGUGGGCACACUUGGGAGACCUGAUAUCCAUUUGACCAUUCCAUAUAGUGCUCUAACAUUGGAGAUCUGAUGUAGAUCAAAUAUGAUGCAUAUAGUUGCAUGUGGUUUUGUGAGCAAUUGAGGAGUUGAUUGGAGUGGUUGCAUUGAAGGCUCAUUGGAGUUGCUUCCUUAUC